rnacentral:rRNA from 1 species
UCGGGAAUUUUGCUCAAUGGGGGAAACCCUGAAGCAGCAACGCCGCGUGAGGGAUGAAGGCCUUCGGGUUGUAAACCUCUUUUAUCAGGGACGAUGAUGACGGUACCUGAUGAAUAAGCCACGGCUAACUACGUGCCAGCAGCCGCGGUAAUACGUAGGUGGCAAGCGUUGUCCGGAUUUACUGGGCGUAAAGAGCGCGCAGGCGGUCGUUUAAGUCGAAUGUGAAAGCCCCCGGCUCAACUGGGGAGGGUCAUUCGAUACUGAUCGACUUGAAGGCAGGAGAGGGAAGUGGAAUUCCGGGUGUAGUGGUGAAAUGCGUAGAUAUCCGGAGGAACACCAGUGGCGAAGGCGACUUCCUGGCCUGUUCUUGACGCUGAGGCGCGAAAGCUGGGGGGAGCGAAACGGGAUUAGAUACCCCGGUAGUCCCAGCCGUAAACGAUGGACACUAGGUGUUGGUGGUAUCAACCCCGCCAGUGCCGUAGCUAACGCAUUAAGU